rnacentral:tRNA from 1 species
UAGCUCAGAUGGUAAAGAAUCUGCCUGCAAUGCAGGUGACCCAGGUUCGAUCCCUGG